rnacentral:rRNA from 1 species
GGGUCAGUAGGUUGGUCGUGCCACCGGUACGUACUGGUCUCACUGAUCCCUCCUUCCCGAAGAACCGUAAUGACAUCAAUUUGGUGUUGCGGGGAAACAGGACUGUUACUUUGAAAAAAUUAGAGUGUUUAAAGCAAGCUAACGCUUGAAUACAUUAGCAUGGAAUAAUGAAAUAGGACGAUCGAUCCUAUUUUGUUGGUUUCUAGGAUUGACGUA